GGCUCAUAGAGCCCGAUAGUGUUAUUUAUUAUCACUACCUCCCUGGGUCAGGAUUGAGUAAUUUGCGCGCCUGCUGCCUUCCUUGGAUGUGGUAGCCGUUUCUCAGGCUCCCUCUUCGAAAUCGAACCCUAAUUCUCCAUCUCCUUCCUUGGAUGUGGUCCCGUCAGCGGCGGACCGGGCCCAAGUCCCCUGGAAGGGGGAUCCAGAGAGGGUGAGAGCACCGUUGUGCCCAGACCCUAUUGCAUUAUGAGGCACUGUCUAUGAGUCAGGUUGUUUGGAAUGCAGCCCAAAUCGGGCGGUGAAUUCCUUCCAAGGCUAAAUACGGGCGAGAGACCGAUAGAGAACAAGUACCGGGAGGGAAAGAUAAAAAGGACUUUGAAAAGAGAGUCAAAGAGUGCAUGAAAUUGACAGGAGAGAAGUGGAUGGGGGCUGGUGAUGCACACCGAUCGGAUUUGGAACGGCGACGAGCCGAUCCGCCGAUCGACUCGGGGCGUGGACUAGCGUGGAUUGAAGGGGCGGCCGAAGCCCGGGCUCUCGAUACGCUCGUGAAUGUCGUCUCCUCAAUUGUGGUAGGCAGUGCACGCCUCCAGCAUGCUUCGGUAUCUGUGCGCUCCGGACGCUGGCUGUGGGCUCCUAAUUCGACCCGUCUUGAAACACAAACCAAGGAGUCUGACAUGUGUGUGAGUCAACAGGCGAGUAAACCCGUAAGGCGUAAGGAAGCUGAUUGGUGGUAUCCCCCUAAGGGGUGCACCACCGAUCGUCCUUGAUCUUCUGAGAAGGGUUCGAGUGUGAGCAUACCUGUCGGGACUCGAAAGAUGGUGAUCUGCGCGCUCCGGACGCUGGCCUGUGGGCUCCCCAUUCGACCCGUCUUGAAACACGGACCAAGGAGUCUGACAUGUGUGCGAGUCAACGGGCGAGUAAACCCGUAAGGCGCAAGGAAGCUGACUGGUGGGAUCCCCCCGAGGGGUGCACCGCCGACCGACCUCGAUCUUUUGAGAAGGGUUCGAGUGUGAGCAUACCUGUCGGGACCCGAAAGAUGGUGAACUAUGCCUGAGCGGGGCGAAGCCAGAGGAAACUCUGGUGGAGGCCCGCAGCGAUACUGACGUGCAAAUCGUUCGUCUGACUUGGGUAUAGGGGCGAAAGACUAAUCGAACCGUCUAGUAGUUGGUUCCCUCCGAAGUUUACCUCAGGAUAGCUGGAGCUCGCGUGCGAGUUCUAUCGGGUAAAACCAAUGAUUAGAGGCCUCGAAGGCGCAACACCCUUGACCUAUUCUCAAACUUUAAAUAGGUAGGACGGUGCGACUGCUUUGUUGAGCCACACCACGGAAUCAAAAGCUCCAAGUGGGCCAUUUUUGGUAAGCAGAACUAGCGAUGCGGGAUGAAUUGGUAGCCGGGUUACGGUGCCAAACUGCACUCUAACCUAGAUUCCAUAAAGGGUGUUGAUUGGGAACGGUUCCUUCAGGGGCCUUCCCUGCGUGUCGAACAGCCAACUCAGAACUAGUACGAACAAGGGGAAUCCGACUGUUUAAUUAAAAUAAAGCAUUGCGAUGGUCCCAACGGAUGUUCACGUAAUGUGAUUUCUACCUAGUGCUCUGAAUGUCAAAGUGAAGAAAUUCAACCAAGCGCUAGUAAACGGCGGGAGUAACUAUGACUCUCUUAAGGUAGCCAAAUGACUCAUCAUCUAAUUAGUGACGCGCAUGAAUGGAUUAACGAGAUUCCCGCUGUCCCUGACUACUAUCCAGCAAAACCACAACCAAGAGAACGGGCUUGGCAGAAUCAGCGAGGAAAGAAGAUCCUGUUGAGUUUAACUUUACUCCGACUUUGUGAAAUGACUUGAGAGGUGUAGUAUAAAUGGGAGCCGAAAGGCGAAAGUGAAAUACCACUACUUUUAACGUUAUUUUACUUAUUCUGUGAAUCGGAAGCGGGGAACUGCCCCUCUUUUUGGACCCAAGGCUUGCUCUGCAGGCGGAUCCGGGCAGAAGACAUUGUUAGGUGGGGAGUUUCGCUGGGGCGGCACAUCUGUUAAAAGAUAAUGCAGGUGUCCUAAGAUGAGCUUAAUGAGAAUAGAAAUAUCGUGUGGAACAGAAGGGUAAAAGCUCAUUUGAUUCUAAUUUCUAGUACGAAUAUGAACCGUGAAAGAGUGGCCUAACAAUCCUUUAGACU
rnacentral:rRNA from 1 species